UACGUAGGGGGCGAGCGUUGUCCGGAUUUACUGGGCGUAAAGCGCGUGUAGGCGGGAGAUUAAGUUGGGUGUGAAAGCCCCCGGCUCAACUGGGGAGGGUCAUUCGAUACUGAUCGACUCGAAGGCAGGAGAGGGUAGUGGAAUUCCCGGUGUAGUGGUGAAAUGCGUAGAUAUCGUAAGGAAGACCAGUGGCGAAGGCGAAUCUCUGGACAGUUACUGACACUGAGGCUCGAAGGCCAGGGGAGCAAACGGG
rnacentral:rRNA from 1 species